rnacentral:rRNA from 1 species
GUGGGGAAUAUUGGGCAAUGGGGGAAACCCUGACCCAGCGACGCCGCGUGAGGGAAGAAGGCCUUAGGGUCGUAAACCUCUGUUGUGUGGGAAGAAGAGCGUGACGGUACCACACGAGGAAGUCCCGGCUAACUACGUGCCAGCAGCCGCGGUAAUACGUAGGGGACGAGCGUUGUCCGGAUUUACUGGGCGUAAAGGGCGCGUAGGCGGUCAUUUAAGUCAGCUGUGAAAUGGUUUGGCUUAACCGGAUCAUGCGGUUGAAACUGGAUGACUGGAGUGCUGGAGAGGCAAGUGGAAUUCCCAGUGUAGCGGUGAAAUGCGUAGAUAUUGGGAAGAACACCGGUGGCGAAGGCGACUUGCUGGCCAGCAACUGACGCUGAGGCGCGAAAGCCAGGGGAGCAAACAGGAUUAGAAACCCUUGUAGUCC